GACGAACGCUGGCGGCGUGCCUAACACAUGCAAGUCGAACGAGAUCCAUGGGAGCUUGCUCCCGGAAGAUCUAGUGGCGAACGGGUGAGUAACACGUGAGAAACCUGCCCUGGAGUGGGGAAUAACUCGGGGAAACUCGAGCUAAUACCGCAUACCCUCGGAUGGUCGCAUGGCCGACCGAGGAAAGAUUUAUCGCUCUAGGAGGGUCUCGCGGCCUAUCAGCUAGUUGGUGGGGUAACGGCCUACCAAGGCAACGACGGGUAGCUGGUUUGAGAGAACGAUCAGCCACACUGGGACUGAGACACGGCCCAGACUCCUACGGGAGGCAGCAGUGGGGAAUCUUGCGCUAUGGGCGAAAGCCUGACGCAGCAACGCCGCGUGCGGGAUGACGGCCUCGU
rnacentral:rRNA from 1 species